rnacentral:rRNA from 1 species
CACGUGAAGAAUCUGCCUUCAACUCUGGGAUAACUCCGGGAAACCGGGGCUAAUACCGGAUAUGAGCCUUGAUCGCAUGAUCGGGGCUGGAAAGUUUUUCGGUUGAAGAUGACUUCGCGGCCUAUCAGCUUGUUGGUGAGGUAAUGGCUCACCAAGGCGACGACGGGUAGCCGGCCUGAGAGGGCGACCGGCCACACUGGGACUGAGACACGGCCCAGACUCCUACGGGAGGCAGCAGUGGGGAAUAUUGGGCAAUGGAGGAAACUCUGACCCAGCGACGCCGCGUGAGGGAUGAAGGCCUUCGGGUUGUAAACCUCUUUCAGUAGGGAAGAAGCGAAAGUGACGGUACCUACAGAAGAAGCACCGGCUAACUAUGUGCCAGCAGCCGCGGUAAUACAUAGGGUGCAAGCGUUGUCCGGAAUUAUUGGGCGUAAAGAGCUCGUAGGUGGUUCGAUACGUCGGAUGUGAAAAUCAGGGGCUCAACCCCUGACCUGCAUCCGAUACGGUCGAGCUAGAGUUUGGUAGGGGAGACUGGAAUUCCUGGUGUAGCGGUGGAAUGCGCAGAUAUCAGGAGGAACACCGAUGGCGAAGGCAGGUCUCUGGGCCAAUACUGACACUGAGGAGCGAAAGCGUGGGGAGCGAACAGGAUUAGAUACCCUGGUAGUCCACGCCGUAAACGGUGGGCGCUAGUUGUGCGAACCUUCCACGGUUUGUGCGACGCAGCUAACGCAUUAAGCG